GUAGUGAACUGGACAUUCGUGCCACCCUUCCGUACCUCGAGGCCUCUUUGCUUUUCGCUAGACCAGACAGCUAAGGGAAUAAUAUCAUAACCCAUAACAUGGAACAUAAACUUAAAUAAAAAAUAAUAUGUUUGUAUAUAUAUAACUGUAUUACAAAAUAUAAUGAAAAAAAAUA